rnacentral:rRNA from 1 species
UACGUAGGGAGCAAGCGUUGUCCGGAAUCAUUGGGCGUAAAGCGCGCGUAGGUGGCCUCAUAAGUCCGCUGUGAAAGUCAAAGGCUCAACCUUUGAAAGCCGGUGGAUACUGUGGGGCUAGAGUACGGAAGAGGCGAGUGGAAUCCCUGGUGUAGCGGUGGAAUGCGCAGAUAUCAGGAGGAACACCAAUAGCGAAGGCAGCUCGCUGGGACGUUACUGACACUGAGGCGCGAAAGCGUGGGGAGCAAACAGG